AUUGAACGCUGGCGGCAUGCUUUACACAUGCAAGUCGAACGGCAGCGCGGGGCAACCUGGCGGCGAGUGGCGAACGGGUGAGUAAUAUAUCGGAACGUACCCAAGAGUGGGGGAUAACGUAGCGAAAGUUACGCUAAUACCGCAUACGAUCUUAGGAUGAAAGCAGGGGACCGCAAGGCCUUGUGCUCCUGGAGCGGCCGAUAUCUGAUUAGCUAGUUGGUGAGGUAAAGGCUCACCAAGGCGACGAUCAGUAGCUGGUCUGAGAGGACGACCGGCCACAUUGGGACUGAGACCCGGCCCAGAAUCCUACGGGAGGCAGCAGUGGGGAAUUUUGGACAAUGGGCGCAAGCCUGAUCCAGCAAUGCCGCGUGAGUGAAGAAGGCCUUCGGGUUGUAAAGCUCUUUUGUCAGGGAAGAAACGGCUGAGGAUAAUACCUUCGGCUAAUGACGGUACCUGAAGAAUAAGCACCGGCUAACUACGUGCCAGCAGCCGCCGUAA
rnacentral:rRNA from 1 species